rnacentral:tRNA from 1 species
GGGUGGCUCAGUGGGUAGAGUGUCAGCCCCAUAUACUGAGGGUUGCAGGUUCAAACCCUGCUCC